GGCAAGUCUGGUGCCAGCAGCCGCGGUAAUUCCAGCUCCAAUAGCGUAUAUUAAAGUUGUUGCAGUUAAAAAGCUCGUAGUUGAAUUUCGGGAUCACAUUUGUUGGUCGUGCCUCGGUACGUACUGGCAUUAUUGGUUUCUACCUUCUGAAGAACCUUGAUGUCAUUAAUUUGGUGUCUUGGGGAAUCAGGACUGUUACUUUGAAAAAAUUAAAGUGUUUAAAGCAGGCC
rnacentral:rRNA from 1 species